UUUAAAACAACAUUUAAGUUGGUUGUGUAGGGAAUGUCAGAUUCAUGUAAACUAUAAAUACAAGCUAAGUCGACUAUUUUUUGUGGACAUUUUCAUAGUUGCGACUGCAUAAAUUGAAUAAUAAUAAUUGAAGUGUCAGUUCUUUUUAAAAAUGUGUACAUAGGCAAGCCAAAAAAUUAUAUCAUGAGACAUACGAAGCCAUUAUUGAUGUGAAAACUUAUUAGAAAUUUGGGAAAAAAAGUGCAGUCGAUUGCGUUUUUUAUGAUGCCAUCAGGCCACCGCGCCGAGUUGGCCAGAUGUCAACUUUAGCCCGCAGCCGGAAAAUAGAAUCAGAAAAUGGGGGAAAUGGAACAGGAAAAGAGAAGCGUGGAGCAGAUGUACUCUUAGAUGGAAAUGACGCGGAAGCGCCAAGGACAAUGACGGACGUCGGCGAUGACGGUGACGAUGACGAGUUUUGAGGUUCAGGAUGAAGUUGACGGAGUGAUGUUUGCUUUGGUCUUUUAGGCGCCUUUCCGCCAAGAAAAUGACAUCGUCAUUGAGGGGUGACACAGGCCACCGACUAACGGAAUCUGCCAAGGGAAGCGGAAAUUUAAAGACCGGGAAAAUGGCGAGCAAAACGGGCCAACAACUUAUGAAUGCUAAUCAAAGCAGGAAAUGGCCAAAGGACAGUGGACUGUAGGACUUCUCGCGCCACAAUUGUACAUACAUCCUUUUACAUAUAUAUUACAGCCAAGGCCUAUAUGUACCACACCGGGUAGUGAGAUGUGCGAAUUUUUUUUUACCAAAAUAGAACAGUUGAAAAAGUUUUU